AACUAUGAUGUAGGCAAGCAUUUAGGAUAUCCUUGAACCUUUCUUAGCAAUGGAAGAAGGUUUCUUCUUCUUUCUGUGAGAAGAUCAUGAUGACCCUUCUAAAGGU